ANACNCCAACCCAAUGUGAACCAUACCAAACUGUUGCCUCGGCGGGGUCACGCCCCGGGUGCGUCGCAGCCCCGGAACCAGGCGCCCGCCGGAGGGACCAACCAAACUCUUUUCUGUAGUCCCCUCGCGGACGUUAUUUCUUACAGCUCUGAGCAAAAAUUCAAAAUGAAUCAAAACUUUCAACAACGGAUCUCUUGGUUCUGGCAUCGAUGAAGAACGCAGCGAAAUGCGAUAAGUAAUGUGAAUUGCAGAAUUCAGUGAAUCAUCGAAUCUUUGAACGCACAUUGCGCCCGCCAGUAUUCUGGCGGGCAUGCCUGUCCGAGCGUCAUUUCAACCCUCGAACCCCUCCGGGGGGUCGGCGUUGGGGAUCGGGAACCCCUAAGACGGGAUCCCGGCCCCGAAAUACAGUGGCGGUCUCGCCGCAGCCUCUCCUGCGCAGUAGUUUGCACAACUCGCACCGGGAGCGCGGCGCGUCCACGUCCGUAAAACACCCAACUUCUGAAAUGUUGACCUCGGAUCAGGUAGGAAUACCCGCUGAACUUAAGCAUAUCAAUA
rnacentral:rRNA from 1 species